rnacentral:rRNA from 1 species
UACGUAGGGUGCAAGCGUUGUCCGGAAUUAUUGGGCGUAAAGAGCUCGUAGGCGGUUUGUUGCGUCUAUCGUGAAAACCUGCAGCUUAACUGUGGGCUUGCGGUGGAUACGGGCAGACUUGAGUUCGGUAGGGGAGACUGGAAUUCCUGGUGUAGCGGUGAAAUGCGCAGAUAUCAGGAGGAACACCGGUGGCGAAGGCGGGUCUCUGGGCCGUAACUGACACUGAUGAACGAAAGCCAGGGAGCAAACGGG